UCUAGGAGGAAAAAUUGAAGAUCAGUGAGACGCAGUUAUUUAAACUCUGCCUCCAAUUUUGACACUACUUUAUCCAUUUGUUUAGUAAAAGUUACUGAACCACGGUUGUUCAGUAGAAGUUAGCUUGUCCAGGGAAAAUGAUCUCAUAGAGUAGCAAUAAAUGAAAAACAAAAGGCAAUUAUCUGGUCGACUGAAUGAUGAUAAAACAAUAACAAUUAUUCCAACAAUGUCACACAGGUACUGCAACAAUGAUCCACCUGGGCUCAGCUACUGUUCCAACUGGUGGAAAACCUCAACUUCAUCCAUGUGGUACUGGUUUUGCAGACUUGAAGAAGGUAAGAAUUACAGGGUCAUGGAUGCUUCCACUGGAAUUUUAAAAAGUAAUGAUGGGAGAUCAGGUAAUAUGUGACAGCACUGGAGUUCCUGUGGGCAACCCCUGAGCACAUGAAGUUGUGAGAAUAAAGCCAAAGCUGCAGUGGAGACCCCAGGAAGAUGCCAGAAGUGUGGAACAUCUGUCAAGGACAGCUUUAGGCAGCAAG